rnacentral:misc_RNA from 1 species
CGCCCCUUCCUUGUCAUCGUGAAUCUGGAAUAGCGACGGCGCAUCGUACAGAGGAAAAGGAGAUAGAGAUGCGCGUAUCUUUUUCUGGGAUAGGAAAUGCUUUGCCGUUUUCAAGAAUCUUUAGGCAGCUUGAGCAAGAGAUGGAAACUGUGAUAAAGGUUUUGCAGCCUGGACCAUUGGGAAUAGUGGAACACAAGUUCUCUGCUGAGGAGAUACAAGAGGCAAAUGCUACAGUUCGUAGGGCAGUUGAGAAUUGGCGAAGAAAUGCAAAUCUAGAGCACAGAAGUGACAUUCUAAAAGAUUUUAUCAACAAGUAAAUGAGUACUUGCUGCAUUGUUUUUCAUGGAUGGUAGGAUGAUUAACAUUUUUGUAGUUUUGUAAGCUCUUCUUGUUGUGGUGUGAAAACACUGUUCCUAUCAAACAUCUAAGAAAAGCACUAAGCCAUUUUUCACUUU